ensembl:lncRNA
UAUAUAAAACUUUUUAGGCUUUACAAAAUAUUCAGACUUAAUCUACAAAGAUGGCUCACAUGUCUUGAUAAACAACUGGACAAAAAGUAUUUUGUACCUGAAAGCUUAGCAGAUAGCUAACAGUAGAUAAAGACCAAGGGAUCGGUUUUAUAUUGAAGCUUUUCUAUUAUGUUUUAAACUUUGAAAACAAAAUAUAGCAUUACAAACCACCCAUAUAAACGACAUGGAUAUACAACAAUGAUUAAGACUAUUGCCAUCGUGCAAGAACAAAUAUUUAUAAAUUAUGAUGUUUGACUAGCUAGCAUCAAAGUUAAUUCAUACAUUGACGUUAAUGGAUUAAUACUAAUGACAAUUACUAUCUAAUACUACAACACCAAUUUUCGUUCAUUCAAUGUUUCCGCUUCACCGGACACCGUCCAAACCUCGAGUCCGUCCGCACCAUUUAAAUUUAGAUGUACUUCCAAUCUGCAAUAUGCCAAUUCAAUAAACGUAUCGAGCGCCAUUCAUCAAUAUUUGACUUAAUCUUAUUGGGGGGUCAAAAACACAGUCCCUUCAUUUAUAUGGUCUUUUGGAAUGUUUACGGGAGACAACUUACACCAUUACCCAAGGGCGUAGGUUUGCAUAUGGUCGCCAAACUCCUUGUAAUCUCUCGGGCUUCUUUGCUUUAUUCUUCUUCCGUACAAAAGUUUGGCACGCAUCUCCUCCCGCACCGUUGCUCGGAAUUGUCUCAACCUUUCAGCGAUUGUCGGGACCCAUCGGGAAUUGUGUGCUAUUAUCUGGCUAAGAGAAAUGACUUACGUUUUUUUGUGGCUAGUCUUCACUUGCCUGCUUGGCCGUUCAUGCACAGGCACCAGCGGGCAGUCUAGACCACACUCUUAAAAUUACUUUGGAAUUUUCUAGUUAUCUAUACUAUACUUUUUCAGUUUUCCAAUGCGUCCUCGAGCCUGCGGGACAAGAUGCUGUCAUUUUAUUAGCUGAAGCGGCAGAGUCAGAAACACUGUAAAUGGUCCCUCGUAGAAAGAGAGAUGGCAGUAGUCUGACACUGUAAAGUACUAAUUACGCCAGGAAAUAAUAAAAGCUUCAUUUUAGUAUUUCGUUUGGUCUCAACAUUGAUAUUGUUGACCCUUUGGUGCUUUGUAGAAAGGAAAAUGCCACCAAAAAACAGAUUUCUGAAGUUUUUUCACCACCUGGACUUAGCUAUCAAGAAGCACAGGUCGUUGUUGCUAGCUUUCUACACCGCCCUCUACAAUCGAAGUUGUUAGUGUACCUUGAAUCCACCAAGUAGAACAGGGUGGUGAUACAUCAGCAUUAGGGGUUUGGGUGAGUCCCUGAAUUGUCCAUUUUGGUAAAGAUUGCACUAAAUUUCUGUUUUUCUAUCAGUGUUUAGACAAUGUUCAUACUGACUAUUUUCAGAAUUAAUGUUAAACUUGUAGGUAGUAAAACGGUGCUAUGAAUUGGGAUGCACACAUUUAUGCAUUAUAUAAUCAAUUAAUACAUUAUUUCAUUGCUCAGAAAUCCAGUACAGGUGAUUUUUAGUACAGCUCCAUAAAACCGGAACCAUUACCUAAAUAUUAAAAAUUUCAGAAUAAGCAAAUGCAUUGCAUGUCCUUCUCAUUAGGUUGUUUUAGGCAUUAUCUUGAAAUGUAUUCAGGGAAGCUCAGAAAUCCAGUGCAGACAUCGUGCUGUCAUGCUGUCAGCUAGUCAGUCCAGCAGCUGCCCUGUGUUUCCUUUGUUUUGCCGAUGUUUUACCCUGUCUGUCACCAAGGAGGUGUGGCCAUCUCCUGCUCAUCCUGGGCGCUGGAGGUUGGAACAACUGACUGCAAUCAGCCAUUAGGGGACUACCCUAUAUUAACCUGAGUCUUCCUGCCAUUCAUCGCCAGAUCGUUUCGUCGCCGGAGUGCUAGAGACGCAUUUGGGCCAUCUCGUUUGGAUAAGACGAUGUUCUUUGCUCACCUUAAUCUGUUUUUUGCCCUAGUGUUCCAGAAUCCAUACCUGCCUGCUUGCUCUCCGAUGUCAUUACCCCCACUACACUCACCCCUGCCCUGUGCACCUUUUUUGUGUGAAUAAAUCCGAUAUUUUCCAGAAAACCUCACUCGUGACUCCUGUGUGCUGCACUUGGGUCCACGUUCAUUUACCUGGUCAUAAUAAGUUCUACUCUAAUUACAACUGCAUUAAAUCAUAACCCAUUUAUAAUAAACAGGAAUAUUCUAUGUCACUGCUGCCAGGCCUGAUAGGGAUUCAAACAGCACAAUGACAUAAAUAUCAGCGUGUGUCAGAUCCUCUGUCAUUCUAACGUAACCUUGUUAUCAGAGCCAAGCUGCAAAAAUGAGAAAGAAAAGAGGGUAAGUGUGGUGUCAGUCAAGCUGUAGAUGCAUCUUGGUGAGAUAUCUGCGAGACACACACUUGCCUCAGGGUUUUGUGUGUAUGAGCGUCACUUUUCCUAUAACCUCUACAACUUUGUGUGAUUACUUUACAAGAAAAAGCACUUUUCAUGCUUCAUUCUUCAUUCUUUUCAAGCAGGAUUCAUUUCAAUGGUAAUGUGGGAGGCUGCAACAGAAUUGUUUCAAGAGACGCAUAUUGCGUCCAGGUGAAGCAAGGUUCUUGUAGGAUACUUUCUCAUUGAUGGCAUUACAUUACAUGUCAUUUAGCGGACGCUUUUAUCCAAAGCGACGUACAAUAAGUGCAUUCAACCAUAGGGUACAAACUCAGGAGAACAAGAAACAAGAAAGUGCAAUUUCCUCAAAUAAGCCAAUUUACAAUUUGCUAUAGAUGAGUGACGUUACAAGUACAAUUUAAGUGCUACAAUUUGUUAGUAUUUAGUCGAGGUAGAGUCUGAAGAGGUGUGUCUUUAGUUUGCGGCGGAAGAUGUGAAGGCUCUCUGCGGUCCUGAUGUCUUCAGAGAGCUCGUUCCACCAUUUCGGCGCAAGGACAGCGAAGAGUCGAGAUCUAGUCGAGUGUUUUGCUCUCAGUGAGGGAGGGACGAGUAGUUUUGCAGAUGCAGAGCGGAGAGUGCGGGUUGGGAUGUAGGGUUUGACCAUGUCCUGGAUGUAAGCUGGACCCGAUCCAUUCACAGCAUGGUACGUGAGCACCAAUGUUUUGAACUUGAUGCGGGCGGCCACCGGUAGCCAGUGAAGAGAGCGGAGAAGUGGAGUAGUGUGGGAGAAUUUCGGAAGGUUGAAGACCAGUCGAGCUGCUGCAUUCUGAAUGAGCUGCAGAGGUCAAUGGCGGUGGCAGGGAGACCUGCCAAGAGGGAGUUGCAGUAGUCCGGGCGGGAUCUACAGGAUCGCGUUGUCGCGGUGUCGCGGCAUGAUGAGCCUGACAUGCUAAGCUACCAGUGGACUUACAACAAGAUGAACGUGCAAUGUUAUGUCAUGUGCAAUAUACAACAUAUACAUAUUCAAUCAAAGUCUGCUGAAAAUCUUAUCACGAGUGUUCCUCAUAGUGUAUUUUUUGCAAUUACAAAUUAAAAGUCGUUCGUAUUCUGCAUACGGGUUUAAUGUAGUGAAGUGAAAUUAUUGCUUGUACACACAGCCAGAUUGACCAAUCACUACAUGUUGGUAUGCAGAGGCAGAUUGUUUUCUCUCUGCUUCAUCCUCAAAUGACCUCCUUAACUUAACCAGGUGGAAACAAUAAACACCUUUACAAAUGAUUUCAAAAUGGGCUUAAUGGUUAAUGCCAGUGGCUCUCUAAGCACAGAUCUGGAGACAUGCCUUCCAUUUAGUUAAAGUUAAAAAAGAGGAAUGGAUAUAAUUUGGGCUCACAGCUAUUAAGGUAUCCGCAGUCUACCUGUAAUCUACUAUUCGUAACGUUGCAUAAGCAUUAUGGCAUAAUGUUUAUGCAACAUUCUUGUUCCAUCCAGGAAAAUGUCAUCAUCAGUAAAAAGAACCACCAUUCUGUCUUUCUACCAUACCAAACAACAAUUUUCAAUCAUAUUUAAAAGUCCAGUGUUGUCCUGAAUCAGCAAAUAUGAAUAUAAUACCAGAGUUCUACUAAAGCCAUAGACUUCAUUCACAACAACACAACCAUUGAGUACCCUUAGAAAUCCAAUUAUUAUUCACCCGAAUUCCACAUUUUUGUAAAACCUUCUACAAUUGUGUAAACAGAAAACUGUGCAGACAAAAACAGACCUAGACAUCAGCUACAACCUGUAAUAAAAGAGCAGAAGUCUGAGAGACUGCAGGGCCCCCUCUCUCGUCUUUCUUUGUGCAAACUCAUCUACAUGAUUAGAAUUCAGCUGUUCUGAAUACUCGUGACUCUCUGAAAGUGCAAACAAGUGAAGCCUUUUUCAGCAAUCUAAGUUGUUGACUUAGAGCUCAACAUUGCUGCUUGUACGUAGUGGAAUUAGUGUGAAGCCCCUCUGGCUUACUCUGCUUUUUUCUCAUUAUUUACAACUUAUAAUGCCUUGCAGUUUUUGGGGACCAAAUACUCUCCAACAUACACUGAACAUUACUCGCGGCCAUCUUAAAGAGAGCAUAACUAUACCUUCACUGCAUUGCAACGCAGUUAUCAUUUAAAUACACCAAACCGUCAUUGGAUUUUUGCCCGACACAGGAACACACAUGCAUUCACUCAUGUCAGACCGUCUGAAUGUAUUUGUCACAUGUGGGUCAAUGUCAAAUCAGUAUAAUCCAUGUUUGUUUGGUCAAGAUGAGCCAAUGAAUGCAAAAAGCAAGAAUUUGAUGGUGCUUUCAUGGGAUGUCUGAUAAAGGACUCAUAGGGUAUGAUUUUGUGUGUGUCGUCACAGCUGGCCUAAGAGUAAAGGAAGGUUGUGGCCAUUGUUGAAGAAUGGGUGGUGGGAAUCAACUGUUCGUACAACUGCUGAGGUCCCCAGUCAACAUGUGGCAAAGCUCCACCUGUUUGAGACUAUAUUAUCUCCAUAUCAAGGAACGUGUGCAACUGGCUGCAUUUCAACACAUCCUGCUCCAUCAGCUACACAAGCUUGUGAUCUUUUCCUUUCCAUUCAUAUGUGAAAGACCAUAAUUAAAGUCACAAUUUUUGUUUCUCCUCCCAGGAACCAAGAGAAAUCGAUGGCGUCUCAAUCGGUCACUUCCUGUUGGAAGAUCCAGCGUAUCCUCUCAUGGACUGGAUCAUGAAAGGCUACACCCAUUCCCCAAACAUCACCCUUGAGCAAGAGUCCUUCAGUGUCUACUUAAGCUCUGAAAGGACCACGGUGGAGAUUGCGUUUGGGAGACUGAAGUCACGCUGGAGAGUUUUGAUGAAGCGUAGUGACUUCCACUUUUCAUUCACCCCUAAAGUGAUUGAUACCUGUUGUGCAUUGCACAAUGUCUGUGAGAAUGAGAAGGAAGUUGUGAAUCCCAACUGGUCAGCGGAAGCGGCUACACUUGCAUUGAACCUGCCACAGCCAGGUGGCCGUGCCAACAAUCACGCAAUACAAAUGGACAGAGGAUCAGAGCCGCCCUCACAGAUUACCUGAGUGCAAACUUCCCCCUGCGCAGACCAUGCCUUUAGACGUCUUGGAAUUCAUUACAUAAUUGCCAGUUUGUCAUAGGUUUGUAAAUACAAUUUUUGUACAGUCCAGGGGUGUAUUCCAGAAAGCGGGUUAUGUGAAAACUCAGAGUAAGUUAACCCUGAGAUCAGGGAAACUCUGAGUUAUCCGUUCCAGAUAGAGAGGUAACUGAAACUCUGAGUCAAUCACCAUGGUAACAGACUCUGUGAACAUAACCUGCUCGCUGGCAGCCGUUGUGAUUCGAAAUGCUUUACGUCGCGAGAGAGUCUUCCGACCCAGAUUAGAUGUUUUAUAAUUUCCAGAGGAAUUUCUGUUAGAACGCUUCCGCGUUUCCUCACAAGGUAUCAUUUAUCUCACUAACAUUCUCCAGCCGUAUAUCACCAACCUCACACACCGCAGACGUGCACUCACAUCAGAGCAAAUAUUGUGCAUCGCGCUACGUUUUUUUUGCAAAUGGUAGUUUUCUUUAUAACAUCGGGGAUGCAGAGCACUUUGGCAAGGCAAGGUUUGUAGAGCUGUGAGGAAAGUUCCCCUCGCACUGAAACGCCUGUUACCCGUGAUGGUGGGGUGUUUCCCGGACACAAACCUCUUAGAACCAUCAAAGAGGAAUUCCACAGGAUUGCAGGUGACUGAUGUAGAAAUCAUAUAUUAUAUAUUUUUUAAUUAUGAUGUACAUUCUGCUGCGACCUCAGAAGCUUAAUUAGCUGUCAUUUUGCAGGGCUUCCAAAUGUGAUAGGAUGCAUAGAUAGGACACAUAUUCCUAUUCCUGCACUCGGUGAAGGGGACUAUGUGAAUAGAAAAUCCUUUCACACAAAAACAAAAAAGCAAAGUUUAAGAACAAAAUUAAUAUUUCAAAUAAAAAUCAUUUUUUCUAAUCUUGUCAAUAUCGUGACUAUAUUUUCAAUUCAUUUUUCCAACUCAUUUGAUAAAUAAGUGACUUUUCAUGCAACACAAAAUUGUCUGGGUGACCCCAAAAUUUUGAGGGGUAGUGUAUAUAUUAGUUUUAUUUUGUAUACUUGCAUCUGAUGUAGUCACUUGUGUCCUGGGGGGUGACAGGUUCGGAAGAGCUUCCCCCCGGUAUACCUUCAGCCACUGGGAGACCACUGUUUUUGGGCCUCUGCCUUCUUUCUGUUGGCUGAGCAGAACUCAAUGUUUCUUUGUUUUUUAAUUAGUAUUUUAAUGAGUGUUUGUGUAGGCUACAGCGUGACAUUUUAAAUGACUUCGAUAGGAGACACUUAGACACAUUCUUAUUUUAUACCUAAGUGGGGUAUUAAGUGAAAAGACAUGUAAAAACAACAUUUUAUUAGGAGUUUAAUUUACUAUUUCAAGUAGCCACUGAAUUAAUAUUUACUUUGUUUAAUAGCCUAAGUCAAUUAAAAAAAAUGAAUUAAAAUUAAAGUGAGGUGCAAUCAUAGCCUAGCAAAAUAUGCCAUACCUUUUUUAAUUAUGGUUUUUAAUUUCAUUUUUAGCUGAUACAAGGUCCUUUUUUCCCCUGUUGGAUUGCACCUAAAUGAAAAUUUAAUUCCUACUUAUAUUCAUAACUAUAGACUGCGACGAUCUUACGGUUAAAUGUUAUGUCAAUGGAAUAGCACAUUCAAACUUACGCGUUGACUCGGGCAGCAAUUUUUCCCCACGCAGUCUCUCUCUCCUUCGCUGCUGCAGCUGUAUUACAUUUGCGACGAAAUACAUGCUCAUGCUCACCGUAGGCCUGCAGAAGGAUCUCCAACUCCAUCGCAGUGAAAUAGCUUGCUCUUUUAUUUACUGUUCUCAUGGUGACUUGUGGUAUCGGGGUCCAUUAAUGAUGGCUUUUUAUCAUCGUCAUGCACGCGCUUAACUCAAGGUGAACAUACUCCGAGUCGAUUGAACUAACGUAGAUCAGCUGUUCUGGAACCGGAUACUUAGAGUUUCCCAUCUCAGAGUAAGUCAACUUGGAGUUCAGGGAUAGACUCAGAGUUUGUUAAACCUCCUUUCUGGAAUACCCCCCAUGUGUGUUUCAUUCCACAAAUAAAGAAACUCACAAGUUUUAGUUAA